GAAAGAAAUAAUUAAGUUACUGCUAAUAAUUUAUUGUCAAUUUAUUUUGACUUCUUUCU
rnacentral:tRNA from 1 species